UUUAAACAGCCUCUAGGUUGUUUUCCUACUGUGAUCUGGAGUCUACUUGAGUCAGAAGGGCUGAAAUACAGUGUUGGCAGCAUGUAGGUUUUGAUCCACUCAUCUCACUGGUGAUGUCCACCUCUUCCUAUGAAACGCUGAAGCAAUAUAUUCUUGCUCAUGGUUUUCUUAAGCGUCUGAAGAGCUUUGAGGCCUCCCUGGCAGAUAACCCUGAUAGUAAGAAAAAAGCUGAUUCCCUGCCUUUCUAUCUCUGACCUGAGAGAACAAGAAGCCCAAGAUAACUAUCAGCUUGAAUACUGGCAUUAAACUUUAAGGCCACCUUCUUCAAGCUACAGUUGAUGUUGCCUCAAGGUACUGGAGGACAUUGUGUGCUGCCACCUCCAAAGAAUCGAGUGGCUUAUUAUAGUGAUGAAAAGCCGUUGGCAGAAAAAGAAAUCUGUCC